rnacentral:rRNA from 1 species
UACGUAGGGUGCAAGCGUUAAUCGGAAUUACUGGGCGUAAAGCGUGCGCAGGCGGCUAUGCAAGACAGAUGUGAAAUCCCCGGGCUCAACCUGGGAACUGCAUUUGUGACUGCAUGGCUAGAGUACGGUAGAGGGGGAUGGAAUUCCGCGUGUAGCAGUGAAAUGCGUAGAUAUGCGGAGGAACACCGAUGGCGAAGGCAAUCCCCUAGACCUGGUACUGACGCUCAUGCACGAAAGCGUGGGGAGCAAACGAGGAUAGAUACCCUUGU